rnacentral:rRNA from 1 species
CCUACGGGAGGCAGCAGUCGAGAAUCUUUCACAAUGGGGGAAACCCUGAUGGUGCGACGCCGCGUGGGGGAAUGAAGGUCUUCGUAUUGUAAACCCCUGUCAUGUGGGAGCAAAUUAAAAAGCUCGUACCCCCAGAGGAAGAGCUGGGUAACGAUGUUCAAGUAGCCGCGGUAAUACAGAGGGCUUAAGCGUUGUUCGGCAUCACUGGGCUUAAAGCGUGCGGUGGCUGUUUCGUAAGUCGUGUGUUAAAGGGGCGGGCUCAACCCGCGGACGGCACAUGAUACUGCGAGACUAGAGUAAUGGAGGAGUAACCGGAAUGCGCGGUGUAGCAGUGAAAUGCAUAGAUAUCGAGAAGAACACUCGUUGCGAAGGCAGGAUCCUGGACAUUAACUGACGCUGAGGCACGAAGGCGAGGGGAGCGAAAGGGAUUAGAUACCCGUGUAGUC